rnacentral:rRNA from 1 species
CCUACGGGAGGCAGCAGUAGGGAAUCUUUCACAAUGGGCAAAAGCCUGAUGGAGCAACGCCGCGUGCAGGAUGAAGGCCUUCGGGUUGUAAACUGCUUUUAUAAGCGAGAAAUAUGAUGGUAACUUAUGAAUAAGGAUCGGCUAACUACGUGCCAGCAGCUGCGGUCAUACGUAGGAUCCGAGCAUUAUCCGGAGUGACUGGGUGUAAAGAGUUGCGUAGGUGGCAUAAUAAGUAGCUAGUGAAAUCUGGUGGCUCAACCAUUCAGACUAUUAGCUAAACUGUUAAGCUCGAGACCGUUAGGGGUAACUGGAAUUUCUAGUGUAGGAGUGAAAUCCGUAGAUAUUAGAAGGAACACCAAUAGCGUAGGCAGGUUGCUGGGACGGUUCUGACACUAAGGCACGAAAGCGUAGGGAGCAAACGGGAUUAGAUACCCUAGUAGUC